rnacentral:lncRNA from 1 species
UGUGAAACAGUUAAGACAGAAGUAAUGAGAGCGGGAGAGAUGGCACAGCAGUUAAGAAGCGAGUGAUCAACUCCAUUGUCAGCACCUGAGUAACAGAGCUGUAACAACCUAUAACUUCAGCUCCAGAUAUUCUGAUGUUGUCUUCUGGGCACCUAUAUACAUGGCAUUUGUUACCACAAACACUUGCGUGUGGAAUUAAAUUCUAAAAAUUAAGUCUAAAUUAAUACAGAAAGAUAUAAAGAUUUUUAUGUAGUCAUGUGUUAACACUGUCGCUUCUAAAAUAGCAUCCUAGAACAACAUGGAUUCACACUCUCAAGCCCAUGUAGGCGGCAGAGAUGGUUCGGUGGGUAACUCAGGUGGAAAAGCGAGCCUGAUGACGUGAGUGUGUGUCCUUAGCACACAAACAAAUUCCAGACACGUUGGCCCAGGGCUAUAAUCUCAGCACUCAGAUAGCAACACAGGUGAUGAAAAAAGAAAUACCCUGAAAGAAUAGCCUGGGAUGUACCGCACAGUGGGAAACUUGAAGAGAGACACUACUGCUAAGGAGGACCAAUCCAGGUUGAUCCUCUGUCCUCGGUGUGUAGUCCAUGGCAGAUGAGUGUUUUCAUAUGUGAACAUAUGCACUCACUGCUUACAAAUAUUGCACGUGCACAUGAACAUGUGUGCACACACAAACACACACACACACAGGCAUACACAUGCACACACAAACACACUCCAAAAAGAAAUAAAAUAUAAUUGCCAAGCUUGAUGAAUUAAAUUUUCUAUCUAAAGGGAACACUCAUUUUUUUCUCCUGUUUGAAAGUUACUAUUUUUAUUUCCUGUAUGUUUUCUUUAUGCAUUACUUUCAAAUUAUGUCCAUACAGCUGUCAAUACAAACAAUCUAUGUAUUUGACUGAAGUAUACUCUUCCAACAAAUAUCAUCUUGUACAUCAGCACAGCCCAUGAGGAUAUGAGAACAGAAAUGGAGAGAAAAUUUUUAGAGAUGUCUUUAGUGGUUUGACAGGAUAAUUUCAUAUCUACAAAACUUGUAAUUUAAAUGCUGUUAUAUCCUAUGUCCUUUCUGACCAUUGUAAUUUUUAUUGUAUUUUACGACUAAAACACUAGUUUGUGAAUGGGUGGAAGAAAAAUAUGAAAAGCACCAGAUUGGAUUCAAGGCAGCUAUCGUGUGAAGAGAAGGAGAUAAAAGUAUUUGGGAGACAGUUGUGCUGCCUCCUGACCAAACAGUGAUCAGAGAGUUGUUGCAAAAGACCAGAGAUAAGCUUACUAUGACAGCAUGCCUUGUCUACACGUAAUUGGUUGUUGGAGUUCCCUGGAGAAAUUGUAUUUAACAUGGACUGUGGCAAAUAUCUAAAUGCCUAUGUGUCCCAAUGGCUCUUUGUAUGCAUAGUAAGAAUAAAUUAUUCCAUUCUGUAAUUACUUUCUGGUACUUAUAAUCUUGCAAAAAUGACAAAUUAUAGGUUUUAACCUCAACUAAAUAUGAAUUGGGCAAAAAUGUAGCUAGUUUUCUUGACCUUAGUAGAAUAUAGGAAGAUACCAUGAUGUCUCAUUACAGAACCCCCUCCAAAAAUCUAAAAUAAAUUUGUAUAGUUAACUGUUAAAACUUGUUAAUAAAUGUAUAAGCAUAAAACUAAGAUUUUGCACAUGAAUUACUCUCUCAAUUUUCUUUAAGUUCCUGAUUACCUUAAGAAAUUAAAAUUACUUUAUUGAAAUUGGGCAAUAUAGAAAUUUAUUGUUUUGGGAAAGCAUUUGAUAAAAUAGUUUUCUAUUUCAGAUGUUUAGACCAACUUUUUAUAUAAAAGUAAUUAGUAAUUGGUUUGACUAUCUUGAGUUUGUCAAACUUAGUUAAUAUGAGUUUACACCAACUCUUUUAAGCACUAGGGCCUCUCCUGCUCUUGUGGAAUAGUAUCUAAUCAAGUCCUGCACACCAUUUUCCAUGACUAGAAAUUAUUUGAAUUCAGUACCUUUACUGUCAUGUUCAGUCUUUAAAUUUGUUAAAGAAUAGAAUUAGGUAGCCAUCACAAGCGAUUUUCCCUUUGUUUGGUUCAAACUUUCAUGUUUUAGUAGCAAACUUUGUAAUUAUUUGAACUACCUGAACUCAAUGUGUCCAGAUAAGCCAUAUUUUAAUUAAACAUUCAGAGUUUUACAGUCAUCUGCAAUUGUUAUGUAGGGAAUAAGUUUGCAGAGAAAUGGUUUUCCAGCAUUCUGACAUUUCCCAAGCUCAUCCCCUCCUUCUGUCCUUCACAGGCAAUGAAGAGCAUGCCUCCCACUCAUUGUAGUCAGACUUCAAAUAGUUAUGAAAAACAUGCAUGGCUCUUUUUGCUGAGGAAGACAUUAGUAAAUGACUUUUAGUAAAGAGUUUCAAAGAGUGUUUCAACCUCUCAGGAGCUGAAGCAGAUGAAUCAGGGAGGGAGCCAUCGGGGAAAGAUCUCUGUAAGUAUUGCAGACUGAGGGUUUCCAAAUGCUUUCGCUGGGGAAGAAAGCAAAUCUACUAUCUUGCUAUAAGGAUCCUUCUUAUGUUUCUGGCCCUUAGGAAUUCCAGCUCAUCAUCCUGUAAGACGGAAGAGCACUGAAGUUGUUCAGUUAACCCCGCUUGCUGUGUUAGCCUGCUUAUCCUUGAUCUCCCGUUAGAGUGGGAUUAUUGAAGCCCACUUUGGCACCUGACUUUUGCAGCCUUCCUUAGGCACAAAUCUUACAAGACAAGAGAUUAGGGCCAGUAAUUUAGUCAUCAAAGGAAAACAAUGCACAGCAUACAAAAGAGGAGUCAGGGAUUUGGGAAACAGUAUGUAAUAUCGCUAGAGUCCAGAUCCAAUUAAUUUUAAUGUUUGCUGUUGUAUUUUAAUGUUAGACAGAAAUAUUCCCCAAACGUUACCUUAAAUAGUUAUCAUCAAGCAAAACUUACAUGUUUUAGUAGCAAGCUUUGUAAUUAUUUGAAGAUGUGAGAGAGCACCAUAAAACCCCUUCAAGAACAAGUCUCCAAUUACUUAUGGUUUUAUGAGCUAGAUGACAUUUAGUGAGCAUGCUUAGUGUGUACAAAACAUCCUGUUUUAGGGCAUAAUGCUCAGUGAGCACAGGAGUGUGUGUGGGGGGGUGGGGUUGGUUUGGUUUGGUUUCUUUGUGAAUUUUCUGUUUUGUCUUCAGUCUUUCACCAAAAGACAUUUCAAUAUACCAACAGAUCUUCCUUAUGCCCGGGACGUUUAGCGGCUAUUCUGGCAAUAACCUCCUGCAUGAGAAUCACAUUUGCUUUCAUCAGCCCCCCAGGAAAGACAGAAAAACCCUGGAAUGUCUCUGAUGACAUUGCAUUCAGUUUAUUACAUUUCCUUGUGUUGCCCUGUAGGGAAUUGUAGCAAAGAUGGCUUUAGACUUUUUAUCAGCACCUGGGGGUUAGCUGUUAUUCUGAGAUCCUUAUUGAAGAUUUUGUUGCUGUUCUUAAGUAACAUGAAAUUAUUCCUUUUUAUUAGAGUCAAAUUCCCUAUAUGUACAUGAAUUUCUUUUUACAAAUUCUGGUGUCAUCCGUCUGUUGGGAGAUAUUCAAUGGCAUGCACCUUAACUAAGGUCUUUAUAUAACAAUGGCAAUUAUUUAUUAUGAGUUCAAGGUAUUGUUGUGACAUUCCAUAUCACAAAGCUUGAAGCUUUGGUGUAAAAUGCUUUUCUUUGAUGGAAUGGAGUCCUACAGGAUUUCUUCCUGUCAGGCUUUGGUCUUUGCGCAUGGCUGAUACCAUGGCUGGUGAUCUUCAAAGAGCUGUUUCCAGGUUGUACGCCCACCCAACCACCCAAGCUCUGCAGUAGUACAGGAGUGGAGAGUUUAAAUUCAGAGCUUCCUGAUUCCUGUUUGCAUCAUUACAAGCAUUUUAGUAAGGGCACUAUGCCCAUUGUCUGUCAAUGUCACCGAGGACAUGUAAGAAAAUGAAGAGGGUGUCUUAUCUAAUGGCCAAGAAGAUCAUUUCCAUUGUUAUUUUCAGUUUAUUGCUUUUUCUAGCAGAGUAAGCACCCCAUCCAACAAGAGAGGUUCUAAUGUAGACAUACUGAGUUACUGCAGCGAUGGAGCCUGCCCUGCAUCCAACACACAGUGUCUGGAUAUGGGAAACUUAAUUACUCUUUUAAAAUACUGUUCACAUCCUAACAUCUUAACCUUCCCAAGACUUAAUAACCUUCCCUGUGCAGCUGAUCUGUCUUCUGUCUAACUCCAGACAUUACUUCCAGAUAGAGAUUGAGAACAUCUGGUUAACACCCUCUUAGUAAUAACCUUUCAUAUUCCCUUGCUUUUAAAGUAGAAUUAGACACCAUUAUUCUUUGAAAUGACAUUUUUAUAUUGAAGUUCCUUUAGCUCCAUGACUCUUGAAUGUACAUGUCUUCUAUGGCUAUUAAGCAUUCUUCUCUCGAGAGAGUUUCCUAAUUCUAAAAACAUUUUUUUUCUGCUGAAAUUCUGCUGUCAAUUACUUUGUUUGUGCAGCUGAGUAUAAUUUGCUCUGGAAAGAAAACAGGAAAUUCAGAAACAAAUUUGGGUACUUAGGUGUUCCAUCUAUGGGAACAAAUGCACUGCCUAUUUUCAAAAUUUCCUUGGGGGUUCAUUCAGAUGUAAAUAAUGUUGCCAAAGUAUCUGUUAGUUUCCAUUCUUUUUGAUGGUGAUGUUUACAUAAUUAACAGAGAAAAUAUUAAAAUAGACUAAUACUUUGCUAGUUAAAAAAUCAGGUUUCCAUUGCAAAGUGUUAUGAUAUUUUUGAAGUUGUU